GAACUAACAUGCCAGACUAGAAGGACCACAAGCUUCAGCUAGGUCUACAUUGGUCACUACCCUGAAAAUCAACACAAGUUGAAGACGACAAACUAGCCUCUAACAAUCAAUGUUAUGGUUGAGUAUCUAAGAAAGUGAAUUUAAGUAGGACCAUCCGGUUAUUCUCUUCAAAUCAUCGUCGACUACACUGUUCUUAUCACAACUCUGGGGAUCAUCGACACGACUGAUUAGCUGUCCUCAGAAUACUACUCUACCAGAACGAGUGAAAGUUAACUCAGACAACGAAGGAGAAGGACAUUGUGACAUCUUGUGGACAAUCAGAGCCUUACACUUUCGAACUAAGAAGAAGCCCAAUCGAACCUUUUCCACGAAGCGGAACCCUUUUCACGAAGGCCUGGGUCCAACAGAGAUAUCCUAUUCAAGAAGACUGCGACGUUCAGAAUGAGACUGAUAUGAGGAUAUGAGCCCUAGGACCAUGCCUCAGGACUACCUGGC
rnacentral:lncRNA from 1 species